AAUCAAAAUCUAAGACUCAAAUCUUUCUAUUGUUGUCUUGGAUCCACAAUUAAUCCUACGGAUCCUUAGGAUUGGUAUAUUCUUUUCUUUCCUGUAGUUUGUAGUUUCCCUGAAUCAAGCCAAGUAUCACACCUCUUUUUUUCCCUUUGCUUUGACAAUGAAAUUCUGCCCCCGGUCCCCUUCAUAAAAAGGGAGAGAUUUAUUGAUAUAUUUAUU
rnacentral:lncRNA from 1 species